rnacentral:rRNA from 1 species
UACGGGGGGGGCAAGCGUUGUUCGGAAUUACUGGGCGUAAAGGGCUCGUAGGCGGCCAACUAAGUCAGACGUGAAAUCCCCAGGCUUAACCUGGGAACUGCGUCUGAUACUGGAUGGCUUGAGUUUGGGAGAGGGAUGCGGAAUUCCAGGUGUAGCGGUGAAAUGCGUAGAUAUCUGGAGGAACACCGGUGGCGAAGGCGACAUCCUGGACCAAUACUGACGCUGAGGAGCGAAAGCCAGGGGAGCAAACGGG